UUUUCUUCUGCUCUCUUUGCUCUUAUUCCUCCCUUUCUCUCAUGGCCUAGGGUUUCAAGGUGGAAUGCAGGCUAAAUAUUACUCACUUCAUCAACAGAUGAAAGGUGGGAAUGAGAAGAUCCAAAUGAGUUCAUCAUCAAGAAAGCUGUUGACGGGUGCAAUGUUGGAUUAUGAUGAUACAGGCGCUAAUACUAAGCACGAACCAAGGAGAAAACCUGGGAAACCCUGA